rnacentral:rRNA from 1 species
UACGUAGGCAGCAAGCGUUGUUCGGAGUUACUGGGCGUAAAGGGUGUGUAGGCGGUUGUUUAAGUUUGGUGUGAAAUCUCCCGGCUCAACCGGGAGGGUGCGCCGUAGACUGUGGGGCUAGAGUGUGGGAGAGGAAAGUGGAAUUCCUGGUGUAGCGGUGAAAUGCGUAGAUAUCAGGAGGAACACCGGUGGUGUAAACGGCUUUCUGGACCAUAACUGACACUGAGGCACGAAAGCGUGGGUAGCAAACAGG